UGCGGCUGGAUCCCCUCCUUUCUAAGGAAGACCAGAAGCAAUUCCGGUCUUACUUGAACACUACCUGGAGCCGCGGUUUCUCAAGCCGCGGUCGCCGUCGCUGUCGCAUCCCUUUCCUAUGAUGGUAAUUGGCGAGACGGAGUUCGGUCGCCUGACUGAAUGUCCGUCGCUUCGUCUGCCCGAAACGGGCUAGUAGCUCAGCUGGUUAGAGCGCGCGCUUGAUAAGCGUGAGGUCGGAGGUUCAAAUCCUCCCUGGCCCACCACCUUUCGCGCGAUCGGCUCGACUCCUCCGGGUAGCAGCCGGGUCGCACCGGCCGACGAAGACAGGUCGCGCCGACCGAAAGCUCAAACGGGGGCAUAGCUCAGUUGGGAGAGCGCCUGCUUUGCAAGCAGGAGGUCGUCGGUUCGAUCCCGUCUGCCUCCACCAUCAUCACGCACGGCCCAUCGGGGCGCCGUGCGCAUAGAGCUUCGCGCCGCGUAUGUGGCGUCGAUCGUUCUUUGACAUCGUUCAUCGGAAGAGGUCUUAAAGUCUAGAUUUCCUCGCUCUGUCGCCUAGGCAGAGUGGAAGGAAGGGUAAACAAGGCCGUCGUGUCGGGGGUCAUCCCCUGCACGGAACGAGCCGAUGUGGCGAUCGCAAGAUCGCCACUUCGCUGACAAGCGUCGUGAAAUCAAGCACAACAAGGGCGUUUGGCGGAUGCCUUGGCACUGAGAGGCGAUGAAGGACGUGGUAGGCUGCGAUAAG
rnacentral:misc_RNA from 1 species